rnacentral:rRNA from 1 species
UCGGGAAUUUUGGGCAAUGGGCGAAAGCCUGACCCAGCAACGCCGCGUGAGGGAUGAAGUAUUUCGGUAUGUAAACCUCGAAAGAAUGGGAAGAAUAAAUGACGGUACCAUUUAUAGGCUCCGGCUAACUACGUGCCAGCAGCCGCGGUAAUACGUAGGGAGCAAGCGUUGUUCGGAUUUACUGGGCGUAAAGGGCGCGUAGGCGGCGCGGUAAGUCACUUGUGAAAUCUCUGAGCUUAACUCAGAACGGCCAAGUGAUACUGCUGUGCUAGAGUGCGGAAGAGGCAACCGGAAUUCUUGGUGUAGCGGUGAAAUGCGUAGAUAUCAAGAGGCACACCUGAGGCGAAGGCGGGUUGCUGGGCCGACACUGACGCUGAUGCGCGAAAGCCAGGGGAGCAAACG